rnacentral:rRNA from 1 species
GGUGAACGCUGGCGGCGUGCUUAAGACAUGCAAGUCGAACGCAGUCUUCGGACUGAGUGGCGCACGGGUGAGUAACACGUAACUGACCUACCCCCAAGUCGCGGAUAACUGGCCGAAAGGUCAGCUAAUACGUGAUGUGAUGUCCCCUUUCUGGGGGGCCAUUAAAGGUUUACUGCUUGGGGAUGGGGUUGCGUUCCAUCAGCUAGUUGGCGGGGUAAAGGCCCACCAAGGCAACGACGGAUAGCCGGCCUGAGAGGGUGGCCGGCCACAGGGGCACUGAGACACGGGUCCCACUCCUACGGGAGGCAGCAGUUAGGAAUCUUCCACAAUGGGCGAAAGCCUGAUGGAGCCACGCCGCGUGAGGGAUGAAGGUUCUCGGAUCGUAAACCUCUGAAUCAGGGAUGAAAGACGCGUAAGCGGGAUGACGGUACCUGAGUAAUAGCACCGGCUAUCUCCGUGCCAGCCGCCGCCGUAA